rnacentral:misc_RNA from 1 species
GAUGAAGAACGUAGCGAAAUGCGAUAAGUAAUGUGAAUUGCAGAAUUCAGUGAAUCAUCGAAUCUUUGAACGCACAUUGCGCCCGCCAGUAUUCUGGCGGGCAUGCCUGUUCGAGCGUCAUUACAACCCUCAGGCCCCCGGGCCUGGCGUUGGGGAUCGGCGGAAGCCCCCUGCGGGCACAACGCCGUCCCCCAAAUACAGUGGCGUUCCCGCCGCAGCUUCCAUUGCGUAGUAGCUAACACCUCGCAACUGGAGAGCGGCGCGGCCACGCCGUAAAACACCCAACUUCUGAAUGUUGACCUCGAAUCAGGUAGGAAUACCCGCUGAACUUAAGCAUAUCAAUAAGCGGAGGA